ACGGAGGGUGCAAGCGUUAUCCGGAUUCACUGGGUUUAAAGGGUGCGUAGGUGGGAAUGUAAGUCAGUGGUGAAAUCUCCGGGCUUAACCUGGAAACUGCCAUUGAUACUAUGUUUCUUGAAUUUUCUGGAGGAUAGCGGAAUAUGUCAUGUAGCGGUGAAAUGCUUAGAUAUGACAUAGAACACCGAUUGCGAAGGCAGCUAUCUACAGGGAUAUUGACACUGAGGCACGAAAGCGUGGGGAUCAAACAGGA
rnacentral:rRNA from 1 species